rnacentral:rRNA from 1 species
GACGAACGCUGGCGGCGUGCUUAACACAUGCAAGUCGAACGGAAAGGCCCUGCUUUCGUGGGGUGCUCGAGUGGCGAACGGGUGAGUAACACGUGAGUAACCUGCCCUUGACUUUGGGAUAACUUCAGGAAACUGGGGCUAAUACCGGAUAGGAGCUCCUGCUGCAUGGUGGGGGUUGGAAAGUUUCGGCGGUUGGGGAUGGACUAGCGGCUGAUCAGCUUGUUGGUGGGGGAGUGGCUUACCAAGGAUUUGACGGGUAGCCGGCCUGAGAGGGUGACCGGCCACAUUGGGCCUGCGAUACGGCCCAGUCGCCUACGGGAGGCAGCAGUGGGGAAUCUUGCACAGUGGGCGGGAGCCUGUUGCAGCAGCGCCGCGUGCGGGAUGACGGCCUUCGGGUUGUAAACCGCUUUCGCCUGUGACGAAGCGUGAGUGACGGUAAUGGGUAAAGAAGCACCGGCUAACUACGUG